rnacentral:rRNA from 1 species
UACGUAGGGCGCAAGCGUUGUCCGGAAUUAUUGGGUUUAAAGGGUGCGUAGGUGGCCUGUUAAGUCAGGGGUGAAAGACGGUAGCUCAACUAUCGCAGUGCCCUUGAUACUGAUGGGCUUGAAUGAACUAGAGGUAGGCGGAAUGUGACAAGUAGCGGUGAAAUGCAUAGAUAUGUCACAGAACACCAAUUGCGAAGGCAGCUUACUAUGGUUUUAUUGACACUGAGGCACGAAAGCGUGGGGAUCAAACAGG